AACGCACAUUGCGCCCUCUGGUAAUCCGGAGGGCAUGUCCGACCGAGCGUCACUAUCACCGCCCGAGCCCCCGGCUCGGUGUUGGGGACCGCGGGGUAGCCAGCGCGAGCUGGAAUGCCACCCCGCGGCCCUUAAAAGUAGCGGCGGCCCCGCCGCGGCGAGCCCCCCAGCGGAGUAGAACCAUACCUCGCUCGGGGGCGCCGCGUCCUAGGCAGGGCCCGGCCACGCAGGGGGGAAACCCCCUAACCCACUACCAUAACCCGGUUGGCCUCGGGUCGGACAAGACUACCCGCUGAACUUAA
rnacentral:misc_RNA from 1 species